rnacentral:rRNA from 1 species
UUAUACGUUUUAUAUAUAUAAUAUAUAAAAUAUGUAGUGCAAACGUGAGUAAAAAAUAUGAAUAUAAGAACUAUAAAUAAAGUUAAAUACUUUAUAAAUAUAUAUAUAUAUAUUAAUAUAUAAAUAUAUAUAAAAAUAAUAUUAUAUAAAAUAAUAUUUGUUUAUAGUCUAUCAUAUAAUGGUUUAGGUAGUAGGUAUUAUAAAGGUUAUACCUAGCCAACGAUCCAUAAUCAUUAAUUAAAGUUAUAAUGAUCACGUUGAUUCUGAAAUAUAAUCAAUAUCUAUAUGAUACAGCAGUGGGGAAUAUUGGACAAUGGUAUAAAUACUGAUCCAGUAACUUAUAAGAAUGAUAUAUAAUAAUAAUAAUAUAUAUAAUAUAUAAUAUAUAUAUAAAUUGAUUAAAAAUAAAGUUCAUAAAUAAUAAAAAUAAUGAUAUUAAUUAUCUUAUUAAAUAAUAAGAAAAUAUAUAUUUAUAUAUAUUUUUUUAAUAAUCCUGGCCUAUAUUUGUGCCAGCAGUCGCGGUAAUACAAAGAGGGUAAGCAUUAAUCAUAA